GUGAAUCAUCGAAUCUUUGAACGCAAAUUGCGCCUUUUUCGGAAGGCAUGUCUGUUUGAGGGCACCAUUUAACAAAUAAUGUGCAUUUCGUGUGCACACGUUGAUGAGCUUUCCAAAAGUAUGUAUUAUUAUUUUUGUUGGCGCAGAAUAAACAGCGCUAUGCUUUUUUUCAGGUCGAGUGUAGUAAAAUUUUUUCUUGCUUUGGGUGUGAAAAGCGUGAUCGCGCAAUUGGUGUGGCGAUGCGACUAUACCUU
rnacentral:misc_RNA from 1 species